AUGGCUGAUAUUGAGAGGGACAAUCAACACACAGAUAUACUGCAGGUGCAAAUCAAACAGGAGGACGGAGAAGAGCCUCACGAUACAGAGGACCGUCUCAAGAGUUCUAAUACCGGAGAACAGAAGCCUUGUCACAUCUGCCCUGAUUGUGGUAAAAGUUAUACCCGUUCGGAUAAUCUUAAAACACACCAGAAAAUUCAUAUGACAGAGAGGCCGUACCUCUGCUCUGAGUGUGGUAAAGGUUUUACCCGCACAGAUCAUCUGAAAUCACACCUGAAAACACAUGAAAGAAAGAAGAAGAAACUUAAACACCCCUGUACUGAUUGUGUGAAAGGCUUUGUCCAUUUGGAGCAGCUUGAAAAACAUCUGGAAAAAAAUCACCUUACACACAAGGAAAAGAAACCUCACGGCUGUCCAAGGUGUGAUGAGAGCUUUUCUGACCUGGAAGAACUAACAACACACUUGCCAGUACAUACUGAAGAGCUGGCCCUCUACUGCUCUGACUGCGGUAAGCGGUUCUUACACAAAGGAAAAUUUGAAAGACACCAGAGAGUACACAGUGGACAAAUGCCAUACAUAUGCACCCACUGUGGGGAGGGUUUUACACAGGCACAUAGUUUGAAACAUCACCAGCGAAUACACACUGGAGAGAAACCCUACCUCUGCAACGAGUGUGGGGAGAGUUUCAGACACGAUGCAACGUACAGGAGACACAAGCGCAAACACGAGCUACCACUCUCUGAAAAGAAAGCCUAUCCUUGCUCAGUAUGUGGGAAGACUUUUACCCGCUCCGAUGGAGUGAUGAGGCAUCUGAGGAGGUUCCAUUACGGAGAGAGAGCUCUCCAAUGCUCCUGCUGCGACAAGCGUUUCUUUCAACAGGACACACUAACCACACACAUGAGAAUUCACACUGGAGAGAAACCGUACAGUUGCUCUGACUGUGGGAGAAGCUUCUCACAAGAUGGCGACCGAAAGAAACACCAGAAGAGGCACCACACUGGAGAGGGCACUUCACCUCUGACCCUCCAUGUGGACGGCACAGGGACGCACACACACACACUAUAACAGAGACAUACACACUAACAGACAGUAACAGGCAGACUCAAGACACAAAAUCAGGCCAGUGGGUAAACCAGGUUGCAAUGAAGUUGGAUUUAUUUUUUGUGUUUGCGUAUGGUAACAUGUAUUUCUCUCUCGUUUAAGUUAAUUGGCAAGGCUAAUUUUAGCCCAACUUCUCACUGUUUGUAAGAUGCUUACUGCUCAUUGCAGCUACUUAAGUGAUCAUCCCCCCACUCCAUUACUGUUACCCCUCUAUUCAUCCCCCACUCCAUUACUCCUCUAUUCAUCCCCCUACUCCGUUACUCCUCUAUUCAUCCCCCUACUCCGUUACUCCUUUAUUCAUCCCCCCACUCCGUUACUCCUCUAUUCAUCCCCCUACUCCGUUACCCCUCUAUUCAUCCCCCUACUCCGUUACUCCUCUAUUCAUCCCCCCACUCCGUUACCCCUCUAUUCAUCCCCCCUACUCCGUUACCCCUCUAUUCACCCCCCUACUCCGUUACUCCUCUAUUCAUCCCCCUACUCCGUUACUCCUCUAUUCAUCCCCCCACUCCGUUACUCCUCUAUUCAUCCCCCUACUCUGUUACCCCUCUAUUCAUCCCCCCACUCCGUUACUCUGUUACCCCUAUUCAUCCCCCACUCCAUUACUGUUACCCCUCUAUUCAUCCCCCACUCCAUUACUGUUACCCCUCUAUUCAUCCCCCCAUUCCUUUACUCUGUUACCCCUAUUCAUCCCCCCACUCCGUUACUUGGUUAUCUCUCUAUUCAUCCCCCCACUCCGUUACUCCUCUAUUCAUCCCCCUACUCCGUUACUCGGUUACUCCUCUAUUUAUCCCCCCUCUCCGUUACUCCUCUAUUCAUCCCCCCACUCCGUUACUCCUCUAUUCAUCCCCCUACUCCGUUACUCCUCUAUUUAUCCCCCCUCUCCGUUACUCCUCUAUUCAUCCCCCUACUCCGUUACUCGGUUACUCCUCUAUUUAUCCCCCCUUUCCGUUACUCCUCUAUUCAUCCCCCUACUCCGUUACCCCUCUAUUCAUCCCCCCACUCCGUUACUCCUCUAUUCAUCCCCCUACUCCGUUACUCCUCUAUUCAUCCCCCUACUCCGUUACCCCUCUAUUCAUCCCCCUACUCCGUUACCCCUCUAUUCAUCCCCCUACUCCGUUACCCCUCUAUUCAUCCCCCUACUCCGUUACCCCUCUAUUCAUCCCCCUACUCCGUUACCCCUCUAUUCAUCCCUCCACUCCGUUACUCCUCUAUUCAUCCCCCUACUCCGUUACCCCUCUAUUCGUCCACCUCUCUGCCACCUUUCUAUUCACCCUUUCUUCAUUGGUCUCCCCAUUCUCCUUCUCUCUACCCAAAUUAAUCCACAAAAACAUAUUGUUUUUGUGGAUUAAUUUCUAUAUCGAUAAGCUCCUCCCCUUUCCCAGCACCUCCCCCUGUCAGCCCCGCGUUAAACAGAUUACAGAGGAUUCUCUGCUAUUAACACGCUGUUGGGACUGUGGCCUAGCAGUGUAUUGUGGUGUCCAGCUUAGCCACACACACCAAACAGGUGAUACAGUAUGAGAGAGAGAACUACCUCACCACUGAUCUGGGUAGAGGGAAACAGGCAGCGAUGUGAUCGGACAAAGGCGCAGCAGCAAAUCCUUCUUCUAUAGCCUCCAUCUUCUCAUCUUCUAACCUUAGCCUAUCUACACUACUCUCUACCUCAACCCAGCCCGCUGUCCCAGCCCUCUGUCCCAGCUGUGCCUCAACCUAGCCCUCUGUCCCUGCCCCAACCCAGCCCUCUGUCCCAGCCCUGCCUCGUCCCAGCCCUGCCUCGUCCCAGCCCUGCCUCAACCCAGCCGUGCCUCAACCCAGCCCUCUGUCCCAGCCCUGCCUCAACCCAGCCGUGCCUCAACCCAGCCCUCUGUCCCAGCCCCGCCUCAACCCAGCCCUCUGUCCCAGCCCCGCCUCAACCCAGCCCUCUGUCCCAGCCCUGCCUCAACCCAGCCCUCUGUCCCAGCCCUGCCUCAACACAACCCUUUGACCCAGCCUCUAUUCUACUUCAGCCCUCCUCCGGUACUCCCUGGAUCCUGAGUGAGCCUACACUCCCCCCUGCCCCUCAUGGCAGGUAUCAUGGACCCUGAGGAUACAAUUGUAACAGAACCCAAGGUUGAGGAUAUCUAACCUGAGGAUAGAAUCGAAACAGAACUGGAGGAUAGAAUUCUAAUGGAACCUGAGGAUAGAAUCGGAACAGAACUGGAGGAUAGAAUUCUAAUGGAACCUGAGGAUAGAAUCGGAACAGAACUGGAGGAUAGAAUUCUAAUGGAACCUGAGGAUAGAAUCGAAACAGAACUGGAGGAUAGAAUUCUAAUGGAACCUGAGGAUAGAAUCGAAACAGAACUGGAGGAUAGAAUUCUAAUGGAACCUGAGGAUAGAAUCGGAACAGAACUGGAGGAUAGAAUUCUAAUGGAACCUGAGGAUAGAAUCGAAACAGAACUGGAGGAUAGAAUUCUAAUGGAACCUGAGGAUAGAAUCGGAACAGAACUGGAGGAUAGAAUUCUAAUGGAACCUGAGGAUAGAAUCGAAACAGAACUGGAGGAUAGAAUUCUAAUGGAACCUGAGGAUAGAAUCGAAACAGAACUGGAGGAUAGAAUUCUAAUGGAACCUGAGGAUAGAAUCGAAACAGAACUGGAGGAUAGAAUUCUAAUGGAACCUGAGGAUAGAAUCGGAACAGAACUGGAGGAUAGAAUUCUAAUGGAACCUGAGGAUAGAAUCGGAACAGAACUGGAGGAUAGAAUUCUAAUGGAACCUGAGGAUAGAAUCGGGACAGAACUGGAGGAUAGAAUUCUAAUGGAACCUGAGGAUAGAAUCGGGACAGAACUGGAGGAUAGAAUUCUAAUGGAACCUGAGGAUAGAAUCGGGACAGAACUGGAGGAUAGAAUUCUAAUGGAACCUGAGGAUAGAAUCGGGACAGAACUGGAGGAUAGAAUUCUAAUGGAACCUGAGGAUAGAAUCGAAACAGAACUGGAGGAUAGUGUUAAUUUAUCCAGAAGGUUCUGAUGCUGAGGAGCCAGAUGGGAUUCUCUUUGAGCCAGAGGACAACAAGAGGGAGAUGAGGAGGAUGAUAACAUCUAUGCCACAUGGAUGGGCCGCUACAAGAAAGCAGCAGAACAGGAGGACAAGGAUAAAGAGGUGGAGAAAAGAGAGACAGUGAUAGAGGAGAGGAAGAACAGCUUCGAACGACAAGCUCCACCACGGGCAGACCGUCGGCAAUCACUACCCUGUCCAGCUCAACUCUCAACGAUGAUACAGUUGUCUCGUCUCCAUACACUACUAGGGCCACGUCUCCUGCCAGGCCAAACUCCCUGCAAUGCAUCUCAUCCAUGAAUGAUCCUGGCUGCCCGAUACCAGCCAAUACUGAGCGACGAUCCUCCAUGAUUCCAACCUCCAUUCCAGAUUAAAAUGCAAACGCGGUUCCGCAGGCGGAACGUCAUGUCUCCGGUACGCUGGCGGUGUGUGUGAUGGCCAGAGCGACACUGAUUGUGUGGGUCUCAUCUGCCAUGAUGACCUGCACAGAGGAGGGAGUGUUUCUCUCUCAAACACUCUUUCUCUCCCUGAAGUGUAUAUAGGAGUGGCUGUGGAGGAAGCAGGCGUGUUGUGUGCAGGUGGCGCUCUUGCCAGAACCACUCUACUGGAGCUCCACUCGAGUCAAAGUACCCUGAGAACCACGUAGAACAGCCUAGAACUGGACAGAAACACCUAGAACUGGACCCAACCUCUCACAACUGCAUAUAGUUGGAAAGAACUGCCUAGACAGAACUACACCGAACCUGGAAGAACUACCCAGAACCGGUGAAGAACUGCAGAAAAACACUCAGAACUGCCUAGCGUUGUAAUGAACCUUGCAGAACUGCUUAGAUACGGACAUCACUUAUUUUUAUUUAUUUUAUUUUACCUUUAUUUAACUAGGUAAGUCCGUUAAGAACAAAUUCUUAUUUUCAAUGACGGCCUAGGAACAGUGGGUUAACUACCUGUUCUGAAUCUAGAGUGCUGUGCUGAGAGAGACCUCUGUAUUCCCCCAAAUCCCAAUAAUCCAGUAUCUUUUAAAAUAGUUUGUGUGAUAGUGUAUGAGUGAAAUGUAUGGAUGUUUUUCCAAAGGUUUUACUUAUAAGAAUCGAUUCAAUGUGUUUAUUUCAAGAUGUUGUUUGUUUAGUCAAAUAAGGGCAUUUACAUGUUUACAUUGUAUCCCAUCUACGUCUUUGUUUUCCCCUAGUCAUUGAAUAAAAUACUUGGUUGUUCUAAUGGUCAAA